AUUGAACGCUGGCGGAAUGCUUUACACAUGCAAGUCGAACGGCAGCACGGACUUCGGUCUGGUGGCGAGUGGCGAACGGGUGAGUAAUGUAUCGGAACGUGCCCAGUCGUGGGGGAUAACGCAGUGAAAAUUACGCUAAUACCGCAUACGAUCUAUGGAUGAAAGCGGGGGAUCGCAAGACCUCGCGCGAUUGGAGCGGCCGAUAUCAGAUUAGGUAGUUGGUGGGGUAAAGGCCCACCAAGCCAACGAUCUGUAGCUGGUCUGAGAGGACGCCCAGCCACACUGGAACCGCGACACGGUCCAGACUCCUACGGGAGGCAGCAGUGGGGAAUUUUGGACAAUGGGCGAAAGCCUGAUCCAGCCAUUCCGCGUGCAGGAUGAAGGCCCUCGGGUUGUAAACUGCUUUUGUACAGAACGAAAAGGUUUCUACUAAUACUAGGAGCUCAUGACGGUACUGUAAGAAUAAGCACCGGCUAACUACGUGCCAGCAGCCGCCGUAA
rnacentral:rRNA from 1 species